rnacentral:misc_RNA from 1 species
GAUGAAGAACGCAGCGAAAUGCGAUAAGUAAUGCGAAUUGCAGAAUUCCGUGAGUCAUCGAAUCUUUGAACGCACAUUGCGCCCUUUGGCAGUCCGAAGGGCAUGCCUGUUCGAGCGUCAUUUAUCAACCCUCAAGCCCGGCUUGCGGUUGGGUCCCGCCGUGGGCGACCACGGCGGACCCGAAAGGUAAUGGCGGUGCCCGUGGGGCCCUGGACGCAGCGAGCUUCUCGGCACGCGUCCCGGCGGUCCCCGGCGCCGUCUCCACCAAUCCACCACGCAGAUUGACCUCGGAUCAGGUAGGGAUACCCGCUGAACUUAAGCAUAUCAAUAAGCGGAGGA